CCCCUUCAGCCUCUGCUGUGUUCCUCUCAGGCAGGUCUUAACAGAGCUCAAGUCAGACAACCAGAGACUAAAGGAUGAAAACGGUGCUCUCAUUAGAGUCAUCAGCAAACUGUCCAAAUGAUAAAGGUGUCUGACAUUCCUGGUGUGUGUCUGUGGAUGCUCCAGCCCUGAUAUAGCAAUGUUAUUAUCCACAAGGUCCCAGGUUUUGACUCUUCUCUGAGUUACUGUAUGCUGACAGGCCAGUUUGGUUGCAUUUUCAGAAACAUCCUAACAAUUAUAGUCACAUUUCAGUCACAUUUUACAAAUUAAGUUACAACUAUUUUUCCAUUGUUAUAUAAUGUUGUUUUGUUUUGGGUUUUUUUUCAUAUUUUUCACAUGUACAAAAUAGGGACCAGAUGUACUGUUUGGAUGACAUUUCAAGUCCAAACAAAUGCAGGAGACUGCAUGAAGUCACUGUACCUAAUAAUAUACAAACACAUCACAUGGACACUUUGGUUGCUACUUGUGCACUUCAUAAUAGUGUUUAAUAUAAUUUUAAUGAUAAAAAAAGAGAAACCAAUUUUUGACUUAUGCUUUAUUGAACUGUAGCUUCUGUCCUUUAUUUUGACAUAUGAUGUUAAAAAGACAAAAUACAAAAACUUAUCACACGUGAGUCUGACAUAUUUUCACUCUAGGCUAAAGAUAGUGAAGCUUAAUAAGGUGCAUGUUUUGGGUUGUGUUUGCUUUUAUUGAGAAGUUUCUCAGGUUUGUCACUCAGCUGUUUUUGCUUGCCACAAUUCAGUGCCUCCCAAAUGUGGAUGUCUUUGGUGGAUGUUUUUCUACGGUUUUCUAAUGCAGCAUCUGGUCUAAUGCAUUAGGGCACCGGGGUGUACAAAUGUGAUACACAUGAUAAACCUUUGGCAAAAAACUAUCAUUUCAACUGGUCCGAUAAACAUUUCAGUCCAAUUUUUUUUUUUUUUAGCAAUUUGAAAUCAAAACAAAUAGACAUUUGUUGUUGUUUACCUAGUGUGCAAAAAUGUAACAUGUUUAUUUGGGCUUUUAUGAAUAGACUGCAUAAUAAGCCUGAAAGGCUAAGUACUGUGUGCCUCAUUAGCAGCCCUGCGACACAUUCAGAAAUGCACACUUUGUAGGAGAAGGUGAUUUAUUUUUGUCACAUUUUCCUUUGUGUGUUUUCAGCUGCCAUACUUUUUAAAAUCCAUGCUCUUCCUAGAGGAUUUUUUUGUUAGGCUAGUAUCUCAUUUUGAAAACAAACGAAUGCCUGAAGAGAGAGAGCGAGAUGCUUGGAGUGCAAAUGAAAAUGUUGUCUAUUAUGUUUUGUAAUAGAUAUAUAUUUAUUUAUUUAUGGAUGUAUUAGUUUUAAUCUUUAUACUUUGCCUAGUCAGUUUUGUUUCAAAGGAAUACACUGAUUAGUUUUUGGUUGACCUGUUGGCCUUCUUAUCGUUCAGCGAAUAAAAUACAAAUACCAAAAUCAUGCACUUCAUUGCUAUCACUGCAUUAUAAAUUACAAUAUUUGUGUGGUCUUAAACAUGAGCAAAAGCCAAAGUUUUGAAAUAUAAACUCUUAUCACUACUACAAUUAAAUAUUUUUCAAUGUUUGAAAAUGCUUGGAGGACUUUGACUUUUAUCAGUUUAGUUACAACAGAAACAAAACUAUGGAAGAACUAUUUGUAAUAGUUCCUUAAGAACUAAACCCAGAGUGCAAUAAAGUGCAGAGUGUCAGCUUAGCUUAAAACCCUGUUUAAUGCAUUAUAUCUAAUUUAUAAAGCUGUCACACCAAGUUUUACAUUUCAAAUUAUUUUGCAUUGAAACUCCUUCUGUACAGUGACAGACGCAACAGAGAUUUUGGUAUCUGUCUUCUCUUCACUUAAUGGUUGAGUUGACCAAGGUCCUCAUUGUUUCAUGUAGUCCUUAAACCAUGUGAUGGUUUUGGAAUCCAGCCAUAGCACAUAUUGUAUUACCAGUGUUAUGUUUGCUCACAUCCACUAACUGAACUGUAAAUAAAUUAUUUAUAGCUGAUUCUGCUAUUUCUACACGUGCUAUAGAUAUACUGAUUUAUGGAGUGAUUGUAUAUUGAAUAGUCUAAAAUGUUCUGAGUGACAGCUCAAUGUGGACACAGUGGUUAAUUCAACCUGCUUAAUAAAUGGUAAAAGGAA